rnacentral:lncRNA from 1 species
GCUGGGUAGCUGAUGUCUACUUGAUAAAAAAUCCAGGGUGUUAUUCGGCUUAAUUUUUUUUUUUUACUAGGUCCAAAGUUGGGGUCGGACACCCUAUCCCACCCUUACAGAAAACUUAAUAAAAGAUGUUCUAUGGCAAACACUUUUGUCUGCACUAGGUGCAAAGGGAAGCUGGACAGCUGAGGUCUACUUGACAAAAAGGGUGUUGUUCGGCUUAGUUUAGUCAAAGUAGGUCCACAGUUGGGGUCGGACACCCUAACCCACCCUUACAGAAAAGUUUAUUAAAAAUGUUCUACGGGAAUACUUUUGUUUGCACUAGUUGCAACGUGAAGCAAAGUAGCUAAGGUCUACUUGAGAAAAAAUCCAUGGUGUUGUUCGGCUUAGUUAUGUUUUAAUUAAAGGCAACAGUAGUAUACCGCUGUUCAAACUCAUAAAUCCAUGGACAAAAAACAAAAUCGGGGUAACAAACUAAAACUGAGGGAAAGGCAUAAAUAUAAGAGGAGAACAACGACACAACACUACAAUGUAACUAAUACACACAGAAACGGACCAAGCAUCAGACAAAAUCCCACGAGAAUAACAAAUAUAACAUCAAAACCAAAUACAUGAAUUUGGGAUAGACAAGUACCGUGACACGUCUUAUCGCAAUGUCAAUUUACACUCAAAAAUAAGAGAAAACAAACGACGCAACGUUAAAUUGUAACACACACAGAAACGAACUAUAAUAUAACAAUGGCCAUAUGCCUGAAGUAGGUCCACUGUUGGGGUCUGACACCUUAACCCACUCUUACAGAAAAGUUAAUUAAAAAUGUUCUACGGCAAUACUUUUGUCUGCACUAGGUG